rnacentral:tRNA from 1 species
GAAGGUGUAGCUCAAAUGGUAGAGUGCAUGCUUAGGAUGCACGAGGUCCUAGGUUCAAUCCACAGUACCUCCA